AAACCCUAGCCCCCUUUUAAUCCUCUUCUUGGCCGAUCCUAAAUCCCUCCCCUUAAAUGCCAAUCCGCCACCAUAAACGGCGACUAGUAGAUUCAAGCUUCGAGGGUUGCCAUUUUCAGCCAUGAAAUUCCCUUUAAGCCUCGAUUUCAACGAAGUAAAUAGAAUCCAAUAGCAUAUUUGUAAGGUAAAUCUUUCAUUUUCCUAAUGUUUUCAAAUACAUAAGAAUCCUAAUGAAAGACCAAAGGAAAUAGAAUCAAAAGAAAAUAAAAACCUGAAGAAUAUUCAAAUAAAAAAACACCUUUCAAAAUUUUUUUGGAUGCUGUAUAUUCGUUUGUAUGCGUAAAAAGUUACAAAUUCCAUUCGGCCUCUUUUUAUAGCCGAUUUAUAGAAUGAAUAAUAAAAGAAAAAUAUAAAAGAGCCUUCGAUUUUGCGAUACAUUUGCUGGCUAUUUUGUAUUCUGUUAUUGGUACUGCUUAGUUGUUUCUUCUCGUAGGUUCUAUCGCGGAGAUGACCGUAUGGAGGAAGAGGCCGUUCGUGGUGACGUGGAGGCCUGAUUCCAGGCUAGAAGGCUACGGCGCAAACUGUUUCAGAAACCCUUAGGGUUUCUGGAAUCCUUAAUUAUUAGGCCUUGAGGGUUCUUCAAAUUGGGCCACUGUAAUUGGGUUGGGUUAGGGUUUAGGGUUUUGGGAUUCAAUUUGUAUUUGGGUUAAAUGAACUGUAAAUGGAC
rnacentral:lncRNA from 1 species